AUGCUGACCAAGUGCCAGUCCCUGGCAUACAAGGAGCAUGGCAUCCUCUGUGUCACUCUCCACCCUGGCUGGGUGCAAACUGAAAUGGGGGGGAGCUCAGAAUCAUUUAAGCCCCCCCUGACAGUUGAUGCCAGCGUGCAAGGGAUGUUGAAGGUGCUUUCCUCCCUCUCUGAGAAGGAGACUGGGACCUUCCUGGACUGGGAAGGGAAGAUCUUGCCAUGGUGAGAUGCUGGUUCAGGAUUCUCACUGUGGGGACCUUUGGUGCCGCACAAUGUUGUGCCUGUGCCUUAAUAAAUUAGUGUCUAUAAACAAUAA